rnacentral:rRNA from 1 species
UGGGGAAUUUUGGACAAUGAGCGAAAGCCUGAUCCAGCAAUGCCGCGUGUGUGAAGAAGGCCUUCGGGUUGUAAAGCACUUUUGUCCGGAAAGAAAUCCUUGGCUCUAAUACAGUCGGGGGAUGACGGUACCGGAAGAAUAAGCACCGGCUAACUACGUGCCAGCAGCCGCGGUAAUACGUAGGGUGCAAGCGUUAAUCGGAAUUACUGGGCGUAAAGCGUGCGCAGGCGGUUUGCUAAGACCGAUGUGAAAUCCCCGGGCUCAACCUGGGAACUGCAUUGGUGACUGGCAGGCUAGAGUAUGGCAGAGGGGGGUAGAAUUCCACGUGUAGCAGUGAAAUGCGUAGAGAUGUGGAGGAAUACCGAUGGCGAAGGCAGCCCCCUGGGCCAAUACUGACGCUCAUGCACGAAAGCGUGGGGAGCAAACAGGAUUAGAUACCCUGGUAGUCCACGCCCUAAAACGAUGUCAACUAGUUGUUGGGGAUUCAUUUCCUUAGUAACGUAGCUAACGCGUGAAGUUGACCGCCUGGGGAGUACGGUCGCAAGAUUAAAACUCAAAGGAAUUGACGGGGUCAUAGCUGUUUCCU